UACGGGGAGCAGCAGGCGCGAAAACUUUACAAUGCGGGCAACCGUGAUAAGGGAACCUCGAGUGCCUGUAUAUGCAGGCUGUCCAGGUGUCUAAAAAACACCUGAAGAAAGGGCCGGGCAAGACCGGUGCCAGCCGCCGCGGUAAUAC
rnacentral:rRNA from 1 species